rnacentral:lncRNA from 1 species
GACAUUAUACUUCCUCACUGCACCUUCUCGACUCGUUCAAGGAGCGGUCAAAGCAUGUGAUAAGAUCGUCUCCCUGCCUGCUUCACGCUGGGCUAACCCUGCGCCUGAAGAAAUAGCUGUGUCCCCACAGAGGUCCCCCGCCGGCUUCAGGCAUCCUUAGGGCGCAGAAUUCCAUCCAGGACACCAUACUACAUUUUGUCAUCAAGUCUCCUCCUUUGGCUGCUCUUGGCUUUGACAGUUUCGCAGACUUAGCUUGGUUUUGAUGACCUUGACAGUUAUAAGUACCACCGGUCAGGUAUUUUCUGGAAUGUUCCACAACUGAGAUUUGUCUGAUGUUUUACUCAUGAUAAGACAGGGUGAUGGGUUAUUUGGAGGAAGACUGCAGAGGUCAAGUGCCAUUUUAAUCACAUCCUAUCAAGCAGAUAUACUUUCAAGGUAAUUUAAUCCUGCUGAUGGUGGCCUUGAUCUCCUUAGGCAGUGUCUGACAGCUUUCUCUACUGGAGGGCUGCUCCUCGCGCCUUCCACACCAUAUACUUCGGAAGGAAAAGCUUGAGGGUGGAGCAUCUAUAUAAAUUCUUUUGAAUUCUUCUGCAUGCAAGAUUUGUCUCUUCUCCCCAUUUAGCAAUUUUUUCAAUCAUUUAUAUCCGUAUGGACUCAUUUAUUUUACACUCUGGGUUAUAAUUCAACACUAUUUUACUGAUUUUGUUGCUCAAAUUGUUCUCCCUUUGGCUGUCAGGAGUUCUUUCAGUUGCUUCCUGUGCUCCUUUGAUAUUUUCCUCUUUUUUUUUUUUUUGGUGUUGGUUUUUGAGCUUUUCAUUAUUAGCUGGCCCUACAAUAUGUUCCAGGCUCAUCAUGUUUACUGCCUCCCCAACUGCCUAAACUUUUUUUUUUUUUUUUUUUUUUUUGUCUUUACAAGAGAGUGAAAGAAAGCAAAUCUAUGGGCCCAAGAAAACUUCUAUUUGCCCUUAAUUUUCAUUAGGGCUGCCCUGUGUAUUAAUCAACAUUUUAAAAAUUGCUUUUAUAAAAUUAGUUCUAUCCUCUGCCAGCAAGGAAACAUCAAAACACCAGCACCACUGAAAUUCUGCAUUUCCUUAAUUCCAAGAUGUAUGUUUGUGUUCACAGUGCUUUUUUCCUUGAUAUUUUAACACUUGUGGAACCAAAGCAUACAUUUACUAUCAUGUCCUUUCCCACACCUCCUGACCUGUCAUAAAUUUGAUGGUACACUUUACAGGUGAUGGCAUCUUGGGAACAAAGGAAGUAGAGCAGUCAGUGAGUUCUUGUUUGGACCAUAGACAUCAUUUAACUAUUUUCACUGAUUUUUCCCCCACUGAACAGAAAUAAUUUGAUUAAAGUGGUUUGAUGAGUAG